UACGUAGGGUGCGAGCGUUGUCCGGAAUUAUUGGGCGUAAAGGGCUCGUAGGCGGUUUGUCACGUCGGGAGUGAAAACUCAGGGCUUAACCCUGAGCCUGCUUCCGAUACGGGCAGACUAGAGGUAUGCAGGGGAGAAUGGAAUUCCUGGUGUAGCGGUGAAAUGCGCAGAUAUCAGGAGGAACACCAGUGGCGAAGGCGGUCUCUGGGCAUUACCUGACGCUGAGGAGCGAAAGUGUGGGGAGCGAACAGG
rnacentral:rRNA from 1 species